rnacentral:misc_RNA from 1 species
UUAAUUUAUUUGCUUGUUUACUCAGAAGAUACUAAAGAAAUACAAGAGUUUGGGUCCCCCGGCGGGCGCCUGAGUCCGGGCCCGAAGGCACCGGGGCGGAUCCGCCGAAGCAACGAUAGGUAUGUUCACAGGGGUUUGGGAGUUGUAAACUCGGUAAUGAUCCCUCCGCUGGUUCACCAACGGAGA